CCUUACACUAGCCUUUAAGAUUUCUGACAGCAAAAGCAAUGACUGCUCAUUUUGUCAUUGCACCCAGGUACUCAAAAAGGGCCAGGGUGCAGCAGUGAGUGCCAGUCUGAAUGAAGGAAGCAUGCGUGGCCUGGAGCCUCACUGUGUUCCAGGCACCCAGAAUAAGUUCUCACAUGGGA
rnacentral:lncRNA from 1 species